AUACGGAGGAUCCGAGCGUUAUCCGGAUUUAUUGGGUUUAAAGGGAGCGUAGGCGGACGCUUAAGUCAGUUGUGAAAGUUUGCGGCUCAACCGUAAAAUUGCAGUUGAUACUGGGUGUCUUGAGUACAGUAGAGGCAGGCGGAAUUUGUGGGGUAGCGGGGGAAUGCUUAGAUAUCACGAAGAACUCCGAUUGCGAAGGCAGCCUGCUGGACUGUAACUGACGCUGAUGCUCGAAAGUGCGGGUAUCAAACAGGAUUAGAUACCCUGGUAGUCCGCACAGUAAACGAUGAAUACUCGCUGUUUGCGAUACGCGGUAAGCGGCCAAGCGAAAGCGUUAAGUAUUCCACCUGGGGAGUACGCCGGCAACGGUGAAACUCAAAUGAAUUGGCGGGG
rnacentral:rRNA from 1 species